GACGAACGCUGGCGGCGUGCUUAACACAUGCAAGUCGAGCGGUAAGGCCUUUCGGGGUACACGAGCGGCGAACGGGUGAGUAACACGUGGGUGAUCUGCCCUGCACUUCGGGAUAAGCCUGGGAAACUGGGUCUAAUACCGGAUAUGACCUCCUAUCGCAUGGUGGGUGGUGGAAAGAUUUAUCGGUGCAGGAUGGGCCCGCGGCCUAUCAGCUUGUUGGUGGGGUAAUGGCCUACCAAGGCGACGACGGGUAGCCGACCUGAGAGGGUGACCGGCCACACUGGGACUGAGACACGGCCCAGACUCCUACGGGAGGCAGCAGUGGGGAAUAUUGCACAAUGGGCGAAAGCCUGAUGCAGCGACGCCGCGUGAGGGAUGACGGCCUGCGGGUUGUAAACCUCUUUCAGCAGGGACGAAGCGCAAGUGACGGUACCUGCAGAAGAAGCACCGGCUAACUACGUG
rnacentral:rRNA from 1 species